UCGAAACAGUGCGAGUGAAAGACAUAAACAUCUUCAGUGUACGGAUGAAAUUGCUCCAUGUCGAAAAUCUAAAUUUUCUUUAGAGGAAAUCCAUCUUUAAACCAGUUCCCCAGCAAUUUGCUUGGCUAAAUAAUUUCGUGUCGAAGAUCGUUUUCUGAUUGGAGAACGCGGCGAGACACGCAGCAGCACGGAGCCUGACUGUGCGAGAAAGGCAGGCCGAAACGGGGAACAUGGCAGCGGUUACAAACGAAGCGACUGCCUCCCGCAUCUGGAUUGCUUUGAAACGACUGGACCUUAACGAUGAUGAAGUUACUAUUGUCAAAGAUGUCUGGAUUUCACAAGGGCUAGAUGCUGUUGCUGCUAAGCAGGUUCUCUUUCAUUCCUUCGGGCUAGACAACAGCGUCUUUGUUUUGAAGCUUCGAAACAGCCAAGGUUAUUUGAUUCCAAUUAAUAGUGAACUGAACAUAAACAGCAAACAAACGCCAUAUGUUCUGGAAGUAGUGAAGUUGUUUCAACAUGUUAUGCCCAGACCUCGUAAUGCUACGUUGACGGUUAUCAAUAAAGGUUUGAAGAACAGACUGCAAAGCAUCAUGAAAAGGUUUCAAAAUAACAGAAAAGGAAAAGAGCCCAAGGCAGAAGUUUGGGCACCCUGCAUGAUUGAGAGGUCUGAAAAACUAGUGCCAGAAAUAAAAAUGAAGUGGCAAGACAAGCUAUAUGAGGAAAUGGGGUUGCUGAACCAGAAGCUACAUUUCUUAAAUCAGAGAAUGCAGGGUGACCAAAACUAUACACUGUACUCCGUGUGACCUCUCCACCACUCAGAUAAAUGAAACAUAAUGUCGCAACAUCUUUACUCAUUGCUUUUGACUGAUGAAGGUUGCUGACACCCACAUUUGGAAAGGCAUGUUUAAAUGUCCACCACUUUGGUGAAUUUGCCAGAUCCAGCAUCCAGUUUUCUUUAUAUUUAUCUAAAUACAACAAAGAAGGAAUUUGUCCUUUUUUUUGUGUUAAAUAGCAUAUAGUAAUAAAUCUGCUCUGCAUUUCUGGUUUCUGAAAUUUAGUUUCAUUAACUGGAGGAUUAUAACAUUGCAUGUAAUAGAGGAUGAAUAUAUGGUCUUUGCAAAAUGUACUGUAAAUGUGAUACUACAGGAGUUUUUUUGACUGUUUUGCUGUUAUUCAAGAAAUAUUGUUCUUGCAGGUUCAAAGCAGUAUUUCAAAGAAAUGGAUAAAUGUCAUUCCAGCAUAUAAUGGGUCAAUACAUUUGUUCACAGGACUCAAAACAAAAGUGUCAAUCUAGUGUAAGACAAGUUAGCUGAGGGUGAGUAAGUUUGUGCAACAUUUCUGGGUGCCUUAGGUGACAUUGCUAAGUUUAGCUCCUCAUUUUUUUCUGAUAUAGAUCUCCCUCAAAUGAUGUAAACAGUAGUUCAAUGCACAGAAUGUGUUUGCAGUAGUAGCACUGAGAAAAGAACAAUCUUACAUACUCAGAACAAACACAGUUUCCCCCUGUUGUUUAUAAAGCCAUGGGUCAAUACGUUAUUUGUCCUCGUUAAGAUCCCAGCCCUCCAACAAUCCAAAAAAGAAUAGCCCCACUUGUUUGCCUUGACUGUUUUGUUUAUGGAUAUCGUCGUUAUAUCAUUCAUGUAUUUAAAAUAAUCUCAAUGACAUUUCAGAGUUUCUGGUUUAUUGCUUUCUUAAGAAGGUCAACUAAGUUACAUGCUUAAGGAGAGGGGGUUGCAUUGGACUGAACUCUACCUUCCUCGUGCAGAUAUCUUGCAAGUAGCAGGUCAUCUCUGACUUCUAUGCAUGUGCAAUGCAUUUUAUAAGUCAGGAACACAUCGGAGAUCAGAUGACCCUGUGUAUGGAAUACCAAGAGCCUGCCCCUAACCAUCUUAUCUUGUUACCAACCAUGAUUGUUUGGUAUAACCCAUGAAUAAUGUCACUGACCCGGAUGAAAAAGUUAACUAAAGACAAUUCUGUUUUGUUUCUAUUUUAGUCAAUAAUGAUUUUAAUUAUUACUUAAGAUAUUUUAAUAUCAGAAUUAUAGCUUUUCAGUGUAUUUUAAUGUAUUUUUGUUUAAAUCUAUUAAACAAUAGAUUAAGCAACACACACAAAAUGCUGGAGGAACUCAGCAGGCCAGGCAACAUCUAUGGAAAAGAAUAAACAGUUGACGUUUCGGGUCAAGACCCUUCAGCCUGAAAUGUCCACUGUUUACUCUUUUCCAUAGAUGCUGCCUGGCCUGCUGAGUUCCUCCAAUAUUUUGUGUGUGUUGCUUGGAUUUUCAGCAUCUGGAGAUUUUCUCUCAUUUUUGAUUUUGUUUAUGUAUUUGUUGGCAUCAGACACAUUUGGAAGUAGACUUAUGAAUAUACUGUACAUGCCACAAAAAAUGUCAGAGUAGGCUGGAGGGUUGGCUGGGCAGAAUAAGAACUCAGUAUUUGCAGCAUGUCUGUGUAGUUUUCCUCAUCUUGCAGGAACAAGCGGACAAAGUGGAGCUUUGCCUAAAUUGUAGGCUUGAACUUAUGUUCAUCUAGGGAUCUCCUUGGUAAUUUUGUGGAUCAAAAGCCUGUUAUGGCCCUGGUUUGUCUUUCUAACACUAUCUCUAUUAGGUAUCAAUUUUAUCUGCUGUAUAUGUUUACAUAUAUUGGGAAUUGGCUUUGGUGUGUUGGUGCAACAAACACUAAGAAACACUUUAUUAAAAAUAAAGAAUGAUAUAAAAAUAAAGUUAAGAGUACAGAUAUGGAAUAAAUAUACAUAGAUACAGUACAUCAGUACCAGCAGGUAUUCACAGUGUAAAGUGUUCCCAAUACAACACAGAAAUUGAGGGGAAGGAGGUGGGUGACAAGAAUGAUUGAUCAGAUUAACUGCUUAGAGGAAGAAGCUUUUAAGGUGACAUGAAGUUUUUGUUUUAAUAGCCCAUUAGAGAUUUUCAGAUGGAAGAUCUGGAAAGGUCUGUUUGCUGGGUGGAUAGUGGCCACAAUAAUUUUUCCUACCCGCCUUAUCCUUGACACAAACAAGCUCUGCAGUGAUGAUAAACUGAAGACAACAACCUUUUCUGUUGUGCUGACAGUUAGCUGUAGUUUUUGAAUUUUGUGAGUGGAUGCUUCUCCAAACCAGACAGUAAUGGCUGAUGUGAGGAUGCUCUCCAUGUUGGCAGUGCAGAAUUGCAUCAGUAUGUUUUGGGGAAGAUGGAAUUUUCCCAUCUGCUGCAAGAAGUACAUUUUGUGCCAAGCCGUUUUGUUAACGAAGGAGAUAUGGUUCUCCCACAUGAAUUGAAUUAAAGUGACUUUAUUACUUACAUCCUUCAUAUACAUGAGGAGUAAAAAUCUUUACAUUGGGUCUCCAUCUAAAUGUGCAAUGUGCAAUUUAUAGUAAUUUAUAAUAAGUAGCAUGUACAACAGGGCAGUCAAUAGAAAUACAGUUGUGUCAGCAUGAAUUAAUCAGUCUGAUGGCCUGGUGGAAGAAGCUGUCCUAUUGGUCCUGGCUUUUAUGCUGCGGUACUGUUUCCCUGCUGGUAGCAGCUGGAACAGUUUGUGGUUGGGGUGACUAGGUUCCCCAAAGAUCCUACGGUCCCUUUUUACAUAUCUGUCUUUGUAAAUGUCCUAAAUCAUGGGAAGUUCACAGCACAGAUGUGCUGGGCUGUCUGCACCACUCUCUGCAGAGUCCUGUGGUUGAGGAAAGUACAGUUCCCAUAGCAGGCAGUGAUGCAGCCAGUCAGGAUGCUCUCAAUUGUGCCCCUGUAGAAAAUUCUUAGGAUUUGGGAGCCCACACCAAACUACUUCAACCAUCUGAGGUGAAAGAGCCGCUGUUGUGCUCUUUUCACCACACAGCUGCCGGUAGGAAUAAUGGUACACAGUUCCCUGAAGGUGGAAUCUCAUGUAGAUAGGGUGAUGAAGAAAGCGUUUGGUAUGCUGGCCUUUAUAAAUCAGAGCAUUGAGUAUAGGAGUUGGGAUGUAAUAUUAAAAUUGUACAAGGCAUUGGUAAGGCCGAAUUUGGAGUAUUGUGUACAGUUCUGGUCACCGAAUUAUAGGAAAGAUGUCAACCAAAUAGAGAGAGUACAGAGAAGAUUUAAUAGAAUGUUACCUGGGUUUCAGCACCUAAGUUACAGGGAAAGGUUGAACAAGUUAGGUCUUUAUUCUUUGGAGCGUAGAAGUUUGAGGGGGGACUUGAUAGAGGUAUUUAAAAUUAUGAGGGGGAUAGAUAAAGUUGACGUGGAUAGGCUUUUUCCAUUGAGAGUAGGAGAGAUUCAAACAAGAGGACAUGAGUUGAGAGUUAGGGGGCAAAAGUUUAGGGGUAAUGUGAGGGGGAAUUUCUUGACUCAGAGAGUGGUAGCUGUGUGGAAUGAGCUUCCAGUAGAAGUGGUAGAGGCAGGUUCAAUAUUGUCAUUUAAAGGAAAAUUGGAUAGGUAUACGGACAGGAAAGGAAUGGAGGGUUAUGGGCUGAGAGCAGGUAGAUGGGACUAGAUGAGAGUAAGUGUUCGGCACAGACUAGAAGGGCCGAGAUGGCUUGUUUCCAUGCUGUAAUUGUUAUAUGGUUAUAUGGUACGUACAGACACAUGAGAUCCUCGGAUAUGUUUAUGCUGAAGAACUUAAAGCUAUACACCCUCUUUACCCCAGAUCCAUUGAUGUCAAUAGGAGUUAGCCAGUCUCCAUUCCUCCUGUAGCCCACAGUCAGCUCCUUUGUUUUUGAAACAUUGAGGGAGAGGUUGUUUUCUUGACACCACUGUGUCAGGUGGCUUCUUCUCUGCAGGCUACCUGAUUAUUAUUUGAGAUUAGGCCAGUCAGUGUAGUGUUCUCAGUGAAUUUUAUUAGCAGAUUGGAGCUAUGGGUGGUGA